CACAUGCAGUCGAACGGAGAUCAUUUGGUAGAAGUUUUCGGAUGGACACCGAGUGAUCUUAGUGGCGAACGGGUGAGUAACGCGUGAGCAAUCUGCCUCAGAGUGGGGGACAACAGUUGGAAACGACUGCUAAUACCGCAUAAGCCCACAGUACCGCAUGGUACAGGGGGAAAAGAUUUAUUGCUUUGAGAUGAGCUCACGUCCAAUUAGCUAGUUGGUGAGGUAACGGCCCACCAAGGCGACGAUUGGUAGCCGGACUGAGAGGUUGAACGGCCACAUUGGGACUGAGAUACGGCCCAGACUCCUACGGGAGGCAGCAGUGGGGAAUAUUGCACAAUGGGGGGAACCCUGGUGCAGCGACGCCGCGUGGAGGAAGAAGGUCUUCGGAUUGUAAACUCCUGUUGUUAGGGACGAUAAUGACGGUACCUAACAAGGAAGCACCGGCUAACUACGUGCCAGCAGCCGCGGUAAAACGUAGGGUGCAAGCGUUGUCCGGAAUUACUGGGUGUAAAGGGAGCGCAGGCGGGCAUGCAAGUUGGAAGUGAAAACUAUGGGCUCAACCCAUAGCCUGCUUUCAAAACUGCGUGUCUUGAGUAGUGCAGAGGUAGGCGGAAUUCCCGGUGUAGCGGUGGAAUGCGUAGAUAUCGGGAGGAACACCAGUGGCGAAGGCGGCCUACUGGGCACCAACUGACGCUGAGGCUCGAAAGCAUGGGUAGCAAACAGGAUUAGAUACCCUGGUAGUCCAUGCCGUAAACGAUGAUUACUAGGUGUUG
rnacentral:rRNA from 1 species